GACAGUUUCUUCUUCCUCGGGAGCAACCGCUCCCCCGACCCGCGCUGCCGGCGACCGUCUCGUCGGCGAGGAGCGGGAAAAACCCGGCGCGCCGUCUCGUCGGCGAGGAGCGGGAAAAACCCGGCGCGCCGUCAUCUCUGCUGCGGGGAGCCGCGCGGAGGGCGCCACCGCUCCGGGGCCGGGGGGGCAGCCGAGGGCCGUUGCCUCGGGCGCCGCCUGCGCGGUUGUGAGCCAAGGGCCGCGUCGUCGCCUCGGUCUUCCAUACCGCGUCACGGUUGUGGGCCAUCCUUGCGGGCGGCGAGGCCGAAGGACGCCACUGCGUGCGCGCCCCAAGGAGCCGCGAGACUGUCGCCUCGCCUUGCCUUGCUUUGCUGACGCGCAUGGAGCAAGUCAUCGACUCCGGAGGGACGAGCCACCGCAGCGCGCACGCUCCAGGUGUCGCCGGCCGGAAGCCGGGACAAUUCCCUCGGCAGGCGAGGCCAUGGAGGAAGUCGCUCCGAGUUAGAUGCAGUGGCCGCAUCGUGCGCCAGGGGGCUUCACCGCGGAGGACGGUCUAGGAGCCACGACCUCGGGUGCCUCCGCGCGGGCAGCGACCGCGUCGUGGAGCGGCUGCGAAAACGGUGGUUCCGUUGUCCCGGUCCAGCGCGGGGCCAAGGCCAGAGGAAGCUGAUGCCAUUGUCGCGAUGCGACUCGAUGUGUGGCAGCGCCGUCGCAAGCCUAAACCAAGCGCCGUCGGCUGUUGUGGUCUGGCGAAGAGCCGACGUCGUCUAGGAAGAUCCCAGGCUAAUGGCUCCAUGGGAGGAUAGAACGGGAUGUCUGGAAGAUGGAAUUGAAGAUUCCUGAGUUGAUGUCGCUCUUCUUUGGAUUUCUUUUCUGUCAAGAGUGUUGCAGGGACGGCGGCCUGGCCGGUGGCGUGGAAGUCCGCUGCGAUCCAGGGCCAUUGAGUUUUUGUAAUAGCCCUCGCCUCUGUGCGUGCGUAACCUCCGUCUCGGGCAUGGCCCUUUUCUUUCGCUGUGUUAGAAUACAACUUGUAACUAGUAAAAUGCCCGUGCGAUUGUCACGGGCAAUGGUACAUGUAUAAAUCAUGGACAUAUCACUAAAUAAUCUCAUUUUAAUGAUUCUAAAAAAA